rnacentral:tRNA from 1 species
GGGCGCGUAGCUCAGUGGAAGAGCACCCGCCUUACAAGCGGGGAGUCGCAAGUUCGAACCUUGCCGCGCCCA